rnacentral:rRNA from 1 species
UACGUAGGUGACAAGCGUUGUCCGGAUUACUGGGCGUAAAGAGCGCGCAGGCGGUCGUUCAAGUCGAGUGUGAAAGCCCCCGGCUCAACUGGGGAGGGUCAUUCGAUACUGAUCGACUCGAAGGCAGGAGAGGGUAGUGGAAUUCCCGGUGUAGUGGUGAAAUGCGUAGAUAUCGGGAGGAACACCAGAGGCGAAGGCGGCAAGCUGGAUGGGCACUGACACUCAACUGCGAAAGCGUGGGGAGCAAACAGG